ACUAAAUCCUUAAAUCUGGAAAAAUCUGAGAACAUCAUCGUCUUCAAUUCUUGUCCAACAUCUUGUAAAAGAAAUAUCAGACGAUCAUUGCGGGAAAGGACGAUCUCAAGGAAUGGACUGCUACAAAUGUAAUAGAAACUCACAUAAAUUGACUGGCAAGAGACACAAGGUCUGCACUCUUUGAUUCCUAUAGGGAUGGACUGACUGGUAGAUGCACUCUAAGUCUAAGUUAUCAGGAUAACCCACUCUAAGGUAGGUCUAUCUACAACACAAGGUCUGCACUCUUUGAUUCCUAUAGGGAUGGACUGACUGGUAGAUGCACUCUAAGUCUAAGUUAUCAGGAUAACCCACUCUAAGGUAGGUCUAUCUACAACACAAGGUCUGCACUCUUUGAUUCCUAUAGGGAUGGACUGACUGGUAGAUGCACUCUAAGUCUAAGUUAUCAGGAUAACCCACUCUAAGGUAGGUCUAUCUACAACACAAGGUCUGCACUCUUUGAUUCCUAUAGGGAUGGACUGACUGGUAGAUGCACUCUAAGUCUAAGUUAUCAGGAUAACCCACUCUAAGGUAGGUCUAUCUACAACACAAGGUCUGCACUCUUUGAUUCCUAUAGGGAUGGACUGACUGGUAGAUGCACUCUAAGUCUAAGUUAUCAGGAUAACCCACUCUAAGGUAGGUCUAUCUACAACACAAGGUCUGCACUCUUUUAUUCCUAUAGGGAUGGACUGACUGGUAGAUGCACUCUAAGUCUAAGUUAUCAGGAUAACCCACUCUAAGGUAGGUCUAUCUACAACACAAGGUCUGCACUCUUUGAUUCCUAUAGGGAUGGACUGACUGGUAGAUGCACUCUAAGUCUAAGUUAUCAGGAUAACCCACUCUAAGGUAGGUCUAUCUACAACACAAGGUCUGCACUCUUUGAUUCCUAUAGGGAUGGACUGACUGGUAGAUGCACUCUAAGUCUAAGUUAUCAGGAUAACCCACUCUAAGGUAGGUCUAUCUACAACACAAGGUCUGCACUCUUUGAUUCCUAUAGGGAUGGACUGACUGGUAGAUGCACUCUAAGUCUAAGUUAUCAGGAUAACCCACUCUAAGGUAGGUCUAUCUACAACACAAGGUCUGCACUCUUUGAUUCCUAUAGGGAUGGACUGACUGGUAGAUGCACUCUAAGUCUAAGUUAUCAGGAUAACCCACUCUAAGGUAGGUCUAUCUACAACACAAGGUCUGCACUCUUUGAUUCCUAUAGGGAUGGACUGACUGGUAGAUGCACUCUAAGUCUAAGUUAUCAGGAUAACCCACUCUAAGGUAGGUCUAUCUACAACACAAGGUCUGCACUCUUUGAUUCCUAUAGGGAUGGACUGACUGGUAGAUGCACUCUAAGUCUAAGUUAUCAGGAUAACCCACUCUAAGGUAGGUCUAUCUACAACACAAGGUCUGCACUCUUUGAUUCCUAUAGGGAUGGACUGACUGGUAGAUGCACUCUAAGUCUAAGUUAUCAGGAUAACCCACUCUAAGGUAGGUCUAUCUACAACACAAGGUCUGCACUCUUUGAUUCCUAUAGGGAUGGACUGACUGGUAGAUGCACUCUAAGUCUAAGUUAUCAGGAUAACCCACUCUAAGGUAGGUCUAUCUACAACACAAGGUCUGCACUCUUUGAUUCCUAUAGGGAUGGACUGACUGGUAGAUGCACUCUAAGUCUAAGUUAUCAGGAUAACCCACUCUAAGGUAGGUCUAUCUACAACACAAGGUCUGCACUCUUUGAUUCCUAUAGGGAUGGACUGACUGGUAGAUGCACUCUAAGUCUAAGUUAUCAGGAUAACCCACUCUAAGGUAGGUCUAUCUACAACACAAGGUCUGCACUCUUUGAUUCCUAUAGGGAUGGACUGACUGGUAGAUGCACUCUAAGUCUAAGUUAUCAGGAUAACCCACUCUAAGGUAGGUCUAUCUACAACACAAGGUCUGCACUCUUUGAUUCCUAUAGGGAUGGACUGACUGGUAGAUGCACUCUAAGUCUAAGUUAUCAGGAUAACCCACUCUAAGGUAGGUCUAUCUACAACACAAGGUCUGCACUCUUUGAUUCCUAUAGGGAUGGACUGACUGGUAGAUGCACUCUAAGUCUAAGUUAUCAGGAUAACCCACUCUAAGUGAACCUGAUGAGCAACUAGGAGAAAGCAACUUCACCACUAAUUGAUGUCAAACGACUGUGGGCUCUGUAUGAUGUCAUCAGGGACUUUCCUGAUGUGACAUCAAUCUUCAAUAUCAAUCUGAGCAGUUUAGCGUGUGAUGCCAGGAGAUGAAUUAGAUGUGGAUGGAACAAUUCUUGAUCAUUGAUGAUUGUCUGCAACUGCCUCUUCUAGUCAACACUAAAGCUUCAAGGCAAUGGGGUCUAGUCCAUGUACUAGAAUGGUAUCAAAUAGCAAAUCCAUGUCAAUGGGAGGAGACUUUGCACUUGUUGCAAAUCUCAAUUUCAAAUGGUUUCAUUCUCAGUUUGUAUAUGUGCAAUGUAUUGGCAGAACACUGUUUGAGAAUCAUGAGUUACUCAAUCUCUCUCCAUUAAACACCAAUUGAUGAACACUGUUUGAGCUUUAUGAAUUACUCGCCAGUCAAACUUGUGAAUAACAAUUCUCUCUCCAUUAAAAACCAGUAGUUGAAGACUGUUUGAGAUAUACGAGUUAUUCACCACUCAUACAUGGAAACAACAAGGCUUGGAAUCAAGGCUCAUGGAUUAUUUCCAUCCUAUAUCAUGUGAUGUCAACACUUUGAAAUCAAUGAAUAUUUGAAGGCACAACUCUUAGCAUCUCCCAUAUACUUCAUUAGAUUCUCAUUGACAUGGAUUUGCUUGACAUGGGUUUCAAUUGAACAAAUAAAAUAUCACAUAAAUAAAUACAAAAAUCAAAUUCAUGCCAGGCACAUGGUAGGAAAGGCCUUUUGUUUAACCCAGAUACACUGUAAGUAACAAGAAGUCAAAAGGUGAUCAUCUUUCUUUGAACGUUAACUGAAAGUUUGACGUUAUCAUCAUACAAAAAAAACGUGAAUGAAAUAUGGACUGAAGCAGCCUCUAGUGACAAAUGCUACAAUUUUGUAAUUUCUGUUCUGGCCAAACAGAAAUUACAUACAAAUGGUUAUCCAAGCAGGUAAAAUGGGAUCUUAGCAAAAAGUUCUCUUCAGUUUGGGUUAAAUGUGAACAAGAACCUUUUUGGGGUAACUUUUCUCCAUGUGCCUGGUGUUAAAGCCAAAGCGCAGCAUCCUUUAAAACAAACAGACAUUAUAAGUCCCUCUAUUAAAGCAGUAGUUGAUAAGAAUGUCUUGAAGAAACACACAGUAGUGUGAAGAUCUGCAUGUUUCAACUUUGAGGGUAGUAAUAACCCUUUAAUACUAUCAAACCAGAAUGAAAGAUGGAAAGUAUCAUUACUGUCUUAUUAUUCCAAUCAAAUGUUUGGAAUGAACUUGUCCUCUUAUCAAAGCAGGUGCGUUUAGUGAUGAAAUACACCUCAAAAACACUUUCUCUAUACAAGCUGAAUGCAGAUUGUCUGACAGAGUCAGUUCUCUCAUUUGGUUCUCAAUUAUUGGCAUCGUGUACACCCCCCCCCCAAGUGUGACUUCAUUUUGUUUUUUGUAAAGUCAGGAAUUGAGUAUGGAUGCUGCGCUUUGGCUUGUUGUAAAUUGUGUUACAAAUUAUAUUGAUGCUUUAAUUAUCAUUAAGUGAAUAUUAGUUUGCCUGAUUGUGUAUUGCUUAGAACUGGAUAGAAUUGUUUGUUGAAAUAUUCUUAUUUAACAAAGAUAUGUACACUGGCACAUCAUAUUUAGUUUGUCUGUUCUAAUUCUAUAUUUUCUGGUGAAUUUUUGAGUAUGUUCAGAUACAGUCUGGUAUAACAACAAUUCAAUAUUACAGCAGUGAAGAAAUCCAAAGUACUGAGCAUAAACUGCUAGAUAGCAAAGCAUUGUGCAUAAAACCAACAGUGUAUGUAACAGUUGUUUAAAAGCAGAGUACAUCAGUUUGUGGAUGCAUCCGAUGCAAACCAUUGCAUUGCAUCACUGCAUUACAGGACUGGACCACUCUGGAUGAGUCAGAACCAAACCUUAACUGAGCAAAUUGCUUACGAGCAGCUAUCAUUAAGCACUGAUAUGUGCUUAGCUAAAUGCUUACGGGCAGCUAUCACAAAGCACUGAUAUGUGCUUAGCUAAAUGCUUACGAGCAGCUAUCACAAAGCACUGAUAUGUGCUUAGCUAAAAGCUUAUGGGCAGCUAUCACAAAGCACUGAUAUGUGCUUAGCUAAAUGCUUACGGGCAGCUAUCACAAAGCACUGAUAUGUGCUUAGCUAAAUGCUUACGGGCAGCUAUCACAAAGCACUGAUAUGUGCUUAGCUAAAUGCUUACGGGCAGCUAUCACAAAGCACUGAUAUGUGCUUAGCUAAAUGCUUACGGGCAGCUAUCACAAAGCACUGAUAUGUGCUUAGCUAAAUGCUUACGGGCAGCUAUCACAAAGCACUGAUAUGUGCUUAGCUAAAUGCUUACGGGCAGCUAUCACAAAGCACUGAUAUGUGCUUAGCUAAUUGCUGACGAUCAUCUACCAUAAAGCACUGAUAUUUAUCUCAAAAAGUAUCAAAUUGAAAUGUUAAGAUGAUACAGAUUCGACACAACUCUGAUUUCUGUGAUUUAACAACAAUACUGCAAACCUGCAUUGACUGCAAUUAAACUCAUUGCCAAUCUAAUACUCCCUCCUCCCACUGUCAUAUAUCAAGCAUUGAUCUGACAACUUUAACUUUCGAUAGGUUCUAUAACAACGCGGUACACACACUUUCAUUGGUCAUUUGUAGAAAACACUUUGUGAGAGGAAAACACCUUUACAUGUCAAUGUCAUGAUUUGUAAUACAUACGGACAGCAUCUUUGAAACAUAAUUGAUGCAGAUUAGUCUGGUACCAAGACUUGAAUAUAGCAGGAGUACAUCUUGAAAUAAUUAAACCACUUUUUCAUUUUAAAAUCAUUAAGGAACCAAUGAUGGUGUGUGUACCUUAUAGGGAAUAAUAUGAUGUGCCAGUGUACAAAGUGUUUAUGAAAGAAUAAAAGAAACUCUGUUGUGUUUAUUUUGUAUUUUAUUAUGUGUUGGGAUGGGAAGCAUCUGCUUUCUAUUUCAAUCUUGUUGCAGCACUGACCUUUAUCACGCAAACGCCAUCUUGUUUUUACUAUUUGUUUUCUUCAUUCGUCUAAACAAACCAAUGCUAGAAAUCAAUCAGCUAUUUAUACUAUUGUUGGUCGAUCUGUCAUGAAGGAACGUUAAGUGAUAGCUUUGAAAUAUUGCUUGUCAUGUUACAGCGAUCUAUCAAAACUUACAUCCGUGGCUAAUCAAAAUUAUUAGCCCUCACUAAUCACAAAUGUGAUGGGCAGAGCAGCAUUGCCAAUGGCAUGUACAGACUGCUCUUGCUGUUGAUAAAGUCAACCUUUUUGAGGCCAAGUUGAUGUUUCAAAUACGAGGCACAAUUGAACAGUGUAAUCUGUUUGUACACAGAUGAUGAAACAUUGCCACCUCAGAUCACCUGAGCAUUGAACAGAAAGUUCAUUCUCAUAUCAGCAAAAAUAAUAAGGUUAAUUUCUUAAGGGCAAAGCAACAUCAAUAAAGAUAAGUUAUUUUUUACACAGAAGGCAUCAUUAAAGCGUUCAAUCUGUGCACCGAUAAUGAAUUGAUGCCAAAUCAAGUCAUCCCAGCAAUGACCUGACAGUUUAACAUCUAAUGAAUCAACGUUAAUCAGACAGUUGUUUUAAUUACAAGGCAUCACCGGUGUCCUUCCACUGGACACAGCAUUUUGUCUGAAUUGUUGUGUAAACUGAUUCCAUCGGAACCACACAUACUAAAAAGAGAGAUCUUUACUAAAUAUUGAUCUGACAAGUAUCCUUACUUAUCACCAAUGACACCUGUUUGUACACAGAUGGUGAAAUUGCACAAAUGCAAAGUCUUAGUGUCUCUAGUAUGCAAUAACUAACUUUUUUACAAAAACAAGUUGCUUUGCCCAACAAGAUGGCGUGAUGAUAAGAAAGGUCUGAAACACUUCUGGUAUUGUUGAUUGCGAAUGUAAGGGAAGGUACAAGCUACGACCAAAAAGGUCACAAAGUUCAAUAACCUUAGUUAAAGGAAACAUUUUCUGCUAAAACUACAAAGAGUUGUUGGACGACACCUUUUUGUAACACAUGAAAAACCAGCAUGUGUCUUUUCUCACAAAACUAAAAAAUACUUGUGUUUUUCAUCUCUAAAAGUUGUCUAACAAUUUCAACAAAUUUGUUAUGUUUGAGCAUUUCAACACAAGAAAAACUUGUGUUUUUCAUCUCUAAAAGUUGUCUAACAGUUUCAACUAAAUUUGUUAUGCUUUUAAGCAUUUAGCCGCAAGAAAAACUUGUGCUUUUCAUCUCUAAAAGAGUUCCAUAAUAAAUGCAAGAAAAACUUUUGUUUUUUCUUCUUUAAAAGUUGUCUAACAGUUUCAACUAAAUUUGUUAUGCUUUUUGAGCAAUUUGGCGCAAGAAAAACUUGUGCUUUUUCAUCUUUAAAAAAGUUGCACAAUUUCUACCAAACUUCAAACUGUUUGAGCAUUUUAAACGCAAAAAAAACUUGAGCUUUUUAUCUCUAAAAGCUGGCUGACAGUUUCAACUAAAUAAUUGUUCUGCUUUUUGAGCAAUUUGGCGCAAGAAAAACUUGUGCUUUUUCAUCUUUAAAAAAGUUGCACAAUUUCUACCAAACUUCAAACUGUUUGAGCAUUUUAAACGCAAAAAAAACUUGUGCUUUUUAUCUCUAAAAGCUGGCUGACAGUUUCAACUAAAUAAUUGUUCUGCUUUUUGAGCAAUUUGGCGCAAGAAAAACUUGUGCUUUUCAUCUCUAAAAGAGUUGCACAAUUUCUACCAAACUUCAAACUGUUUGAGUAUUUUAAACGCAAGAAAAACUUGUGUUUUUCAUCUCUAAAAGAGAUUUAUAAAAAAGGCCACAAAGAAACUGUUACAAUUUUUAUUAAACUUGUUAGACAACUUAAAGAAACUUGUAAGACAACUUAAGCUCCUUGAAAAAUUGUACCUUCCCUUUAAGUCAACAUACCAAAAUAGUGCUGCAACUUGUAUUGAAAUAGAAAGCAGAUGCACUAUGGGUUA